UGGCACUUUUCUUCAAUAUGUCUAUCUUGUGUUGGCCUCAUUAGCCACCAGCGUGCUUGUAACAAAUGUGGAUAGAGCCUUCCUAAAUCUUCGUUCACGAAACCCAGCCAUGAUGACU